GGUUUAUUAGCUUAGUUGGUUAAAACCUCAUGCUAAUAAUGUGAAAGUCAUAACUUUGAUUCUUGUUUGAACCA
rnacentral:tRNA from 1 species